UGCCAGCAGCCGCGGUAAUACGGAGGGGGUUAGCGUUGUUCGGAAUUACUGGGCGUAAAGCGCACGUAGGCGGAUUAGUAAGUAAGGGGUGAAAUCCCGAGGCUCAACCUCGGAACUGCCUUUUAAACUGCUAGUCUAGAGUUCGAGAGAGGUGAGUGGAAUUCCGAGUGUAGAGGUGAAAUUCGUAGAUAUUCGGAGGAACACCAGUGGCGAAGGCGGCUCACUGGCUCGAUACUGACGCUGAGGUGCGAAAGCGUGGGGAGCAAACAGGAUUAGAUA
rnacentral:rRNA from 1 species